rnacentral:lncRNA from 7 species
GAUGUCUUCAUCACUAAUUAGGAAACAGUGUAUGAACAAAACUAUUAAAUUUGUUGUUAGAAAGGGAUCACAGUACAUAGCAAAAUCAGUACAUGAACCAAGUGGGUUGGGAUGAAAUGCUACAAAAUGGAAUAAUUCACGCAGCAGUGCAAUAGAACCCAAGGCACUUCGAAACAGAAGGUAUGAAAAGACUUACCUCACGAAUUUUGUCUUCAGCAGAGGACGAAUAUGACCUACAUGAUGAAAAUUCAGAACUUAGAAGCUGGGCAAAAACCUUUAUAUCCUACGACACAUAAUGAACACCUUUAUAUUCUACAACACAUAAUUAGAAGGCAUCGCCAUUUGGCACCUGAAGGCAGAAAGUGUUAUUUUUUUUCUGGGGUCUCCCAACUUCAUUGAGGUAAAUAAGUGAAACCGAAAAAGCACACGUUGUUAGAACCAGUUUAUUUAUAACCAUUAAAAAAACCUCACUGAGGUGAAGAAGAAAAACCGAAUUACAAACCAAAUAAUAUGUAAAUCGACGACGGGAAAAAAACACGUUGUCGGAACCAGUUUAUUUGUGACCACAAACAAUUCACACAUGUUUAAUGUCCAG